rnacentral:rRNA from 1 species
AGUCGACGAUGAAGCCCUUCGGGGUGGAUUAGUGGCGAACGGGUGAGUAACACGUGGGCAAUCUGCCCUCCACUUCGGGACAAGCCCUGGAAACGGGGUCUAAUACCGGAUACGACGCGCUCGGGCAUCCGAUGUGCGUGGAAAGCUCCGGCGGUGGAGGAUGAGCCCGCGGCCUAUCAGCUGGUUGGUGAGGUAAUGGCUCACCAAGGCGACGACGGGUAGCCGGCCUGAGAGGGCGACCGGCCACACUGGGACUGAGACACGGCCCAGACUCCUACGGGAGGCAGCAGUGGGGAAUAUUGCACAAUGGGCGCAAGCCUGAUGCAGCGACGCCGCGUGAGGGAUGACGGCCUUCGGGUUGUAAACCUCUUUCAGCAGGGAAGAAGCGCAAGUGACGGUACCUGCAGAAGAAGCGCCGGCUAACUACGUGCCAGCAGCCGCGGUAAUACGUAGGGCGCAAGCGUUGUCCGGAAUUAUUGGGCGUAAAGAGCUCGUAGGCGGCUUGUCACGUCGAUUGUGAAAGCCCGAGGCUUAACCUCGGGUCUGCAGUCGAUACGGGCUGGCUAGAGUGUGGUAGGGGAGAUCGGAAUUCCUGGUGUAGCGGUGAAAUGCGCAGAUAUCAGGAGGAACACCGGUGGCGAAGGCGGAUCUCUGGGCCAUUACUGACGCUGAGGAGCGAAAGCGUGGGGAGCGAACAGGAUUAGAUACCCUGGUAGUCACGCCGUAA